GAAAGAGAAAGAGAAAGAGAAAGAGAAAGAGAAAGAGAGAUUUCAACUCUUCAUGUUUUUGUUGUGCGUUUCCUUCUUGUUUACAUUUGUUUUAUUUUGUUUUUUAUGAUUAUCUUUCUUUUUUCACAGAUUUGUAACUUCUA
rnacentral:ribozyme from 13 species